UACAGAGGGUGCAAGCGUUAAUCGGAAUUACUGGGCGUAAAGCGCGCGUAGGUGGUUUGUUAAGUUGAAUGUGAAAUCCCCGGGCUCAACCUGGGAACUGCAUGCAAAACUGGCAAGCUAGAUAUGGUAGAGGGUGGUGGAAUUUCCUGUGUAGCGGUGAAAUGCGUAGAUAUAGGAAGGAACACCAGUGGCGAAGGCGACCACCUGGACUGAUACUGACACUGAGGUGCGAAAGCGUGGGGAGCAAACAGG
rnacentral:rRNA from 1 species